UCCGCGCAGUGCGCCCCUCUCCCGCCUCCGCCGACCGUGAGGACGUGGGCGGGCCGCGAGCGCCGCCCCGCCCGAAGAAUGACCUUGGAAAGGAAGUUACCUGCGCUCCAGGGCCGAGAGAACAAGUCUUCAAGUUUAAUAUCCGGUGACUCUUACUCACAGCCAGACACUUCAUAAAUCCUUUUUUCAAAAACCCCAGAAUUUACUCUUCCACCAUUUGAUACAUGAAGAGGCAAGAUAAUCUCACCUCUCAUAGCUCCUGAAACAUCUAUCUUCAAAAAGAUACAACGGCUGAAGAACCUUUC